rnacentral:rRNA from 1 species
AUUGAACGCUGGCGGCAUGCUUUACACAUGCAAGUCGAACGGCAGCACGGGCUUCGGCCUGGUGGCGAGUGGCGAACGGGUGAGUAAUGCAUCGGAACGUGCCCAUGUUGUGGGGGAUAACUACGCGAAAGCGUAGCUAAUACCGCAUAAGCCCUGAGGGGGAAAGCGGGGGAUUCUUCGGAACCUCGUGCGAUUGGAGCGGCCGAUGUCGGAUUAGCUAGUAGGUGAGGUAAAGGCUCACCUAGGCGACGAUCCGUAGCGGGUCUGAGAGGAUGAUCCGCCACACUGGGACUGAGACACGGCCCAGACUCCUACGGGAGGCAGCAGUGGGGAAUUUUGGACAAUGGGCGCAAGCCUGAUCCAGCCAUGCCGCGUGAGUGAAGAAGGCCUUCGGGUUGUAAAGCUCUUUCGGCCGGGAAGAAAUCGCAUUCUCUAAUAUAGGAUGUGGAUGACGGUAC